rnacentral:rRNA from 1 species
AUUGAACGCUGGCGGCAGGCUUAACACAUGCAAGUCGAGCGAUCGGCGGACGGGUGAGUAAUGUCUGGGAACUUGCCUGAUGGAGGGGGAUAACAACUGGAAACGGUAGCUAAUACCGCAUACCAUCAGAUGUGCCCAGAUGUGAUUAGCUUGUGGGUGUGGUAAUGGCUCACCUGGGCAACGAUCCCUAGCGGGUCUGAGAGGAUGACCGGCCACACUGGAACUGAGACACGGUCCCGACUCCUACGGGAGGCAGCAGUGGGAAAUAUUGCACAAGGGGCGCAAGCCUGAUGCAGCCAUGCCGCGUGUGUGAAGAGGUCCUUCGAGUUGUAAAGCACGUUCAGCGAGGAGGCGUUACUCGCAGAAGAAGCACCGGCUAACUCCGUGCCAGCAGCCGCGGUAAUAC